GGAGAUUCAUCGUCAAAGUAUCUGGUAUUAGUGCAAGAUAUGAUGUGGUAAAUAGUCCUCGUGGUUAAUAUAUUAUACAUUCUUGUACUAUUUUGCUGGGUACGUCGGCGUGCACUUCUCCUCUAGUAGAACGUCGCGACCCGUUGAAUGUUGAUCUAUGGUCUGAAUGGUUGACUUUGAUUUUGCUUGCAUUGUCGGAGACCUUCAGUGUCCUGAUCAUCUGUUCGACGGUACACAUAUGGUAUAAAGUCGCUAUUAUAGCGUUAAAUCCGCUGCAAGUGUGGUCAAUGGUUAGUAGUGUGGAUCUGACGCCAUCGCUGAUAUUGACUCACUGUUAGUAUGUGGCAUUCUUUAACUGACUUAAUACCGGUCAGCGAUGCUACUGCUUUGGGUACUUUCAGGACCCGUCUUGAAACACGGACCAAGGAGUCUAACAUGUACGCGAGUCAUUGGGACUUAAAAUAAACCUAAAGGCGUAAUGAAAGUAAAGAUUGUUGUAUGACAAUUUAGGGAAGAUAGGUUACGUUACGAUGUAAUCUCGCAUUCCCGGGGCA
rnacentral:rRNA from 1 species